UAGUCGCGAGGGAAACAACCCAGAUCGUCAGCUAAGGUCCCAAAUUUAUACUAAGUGAGAAAGGUUGUGGGGUCUCAAAAACAGCUAGGACGUUGGCUUAGAAGCAGCCAUCGUUUAAAGAGUGCGUAACAGCUCACUAGUCGAGAGACCCUGCGCCGAAAAUGUAACGGGACUAAGUAUAAAACCGAAGCUACGGACUCGCAAGAGUGGUAGGGGAGCGUUCCAAGGGCAAUGAAGCUAGACCGGAAGGACUGGUGGAGCGCUUGGAAGUGAGAAUGCCGGUAUGAGUAACGAUUCAAGGUGAGAAUCCUUGACGCCUAUUGGGUAAGGUUUCCUGGGCAAGGUUCGUCCACCCAGGGUUAGUCGGGACCUAAGGCGAGGCCGAAAGGCGUAGUCGAUGGACAACAGGUUGAUAUUCCUGUACUUCCACAGAUGUGACGGAGUGACGGAGAAGGAUAGCAUUACCACUUACUGGAUUGUGGGGUAAGCGUAAAGUGGGUCUUGUAGGCAAAUCCGCAAGGCACAACCAUGAAACGUGAUGCAUAGGGAAAGCUUCGGCUAGUACUGAAUUAUGUGAUUCCAUGCUUCCAAGAAAAACUUCUAACUUAAGUCUGUGUGAACCCGUACCGAGAACGGACACACGUACCCAAGAUGAGUAUUCUAAGGCGAGCGAGAUAACUAUUGUUAAGGAACUCUGCAAAAUGACCCCGUACGUUCGCAAUAAGGGGUGCUGACUUCGGUCAGCCGCAGGAAUCGGUGGGGGCGACUGUUUACCAAAAACACAACUCUCUGCUAAGUCGCAAGACGAUGUAUAGGGGGUGACACCUGCCCAGUGCCGGAAGGUUAAGUUGAUCUGUUAGCUUCGGCGAAGCAGUGAUAUGAAGCCCCGGUGAACGGCGGCCGUAACUAUAACGGUCCUAAGGUAGCGAAAUUCCUUGUCACUUAAUUGGUGACCUGCACGAAAGGUGUAACGAUCUCCACGCUGUCUCAACAAUAGACUCGGUGAAAUUAUGGUGGAAGUGAGAACGCUUCCCACCCGCAGCAAGACGAAAAGACCCCGUGGAGCUUUACUAUAGCUUCGUAUUGGGUUUUGAUUAAACAUGUGUAGGAUAGGUGGGAGACAUUGAUACAUAGACGCUAGUCUAUGUGGAGUCGUCCUUGAAAUACCACCCCUGUUUAAUUGAAAUUCUAACCUGCUCCCGUUAUCCGGGAGGGGGACAGUGCGUGGCGGGUAGUUUGACUGGGGCGGUCGCCUCCUAAAGAGUAACGGAGGCGUUCAAAGGUCCACUCAAUACGGUCAGAAACCGUAUGCAGAGCGUAAAGGUAAAAGUGGGCUUGACUGUGAGACGUACAUGUCGAGCAGGUGCGAAAGCAGGACUUAGUGAUCCGGCGGUUCCGAGUGGAAGGGCCGUCGCUCAACGGAUAAAAGCUACCCCGGGGAUAACAGGCUAAUCACUCCCAAGAGAUCACAUCGACGGAGUGGUUUGGCACCUCGAUGUCGGCUCAUCGCAUCCUGGAGCUGGAGUCGGUUCCAAGGGUAUGGCUGUUCGCCAUUUAAAGCGGAACGUGAGCUGGGUUCAGAACGUCGUGAGACAGUUCGGUCCCUAUCUGCUGUGGGCGUUGGA
rnacentral:rRNA from 1 species